rnacentral:rRNA from 1 species
AUUGAACGCUAGCGGCAUGCUUUACACAUGCAAGUCGAACGGAGUGGCGGACUGGUGAGUAAUAUUUCGGAACGUGCCUAGUAGCGGGGUAUAACUACUCUAAACAUUGGCUAAUACCGCAUACCAUAGGAGCGGCCCAAAUCGGAUUAGGUAGUUGGUGGGGUAAAGGCUCACCAAGGCAACGAUCCCUAGCUGGUCUGAGAGGACGACCAGCCACACUGGAACUGAGACACGGCCCAGACUCCGACGGGAGGCAGCAGUGGGGAAUAGUGGACAAUGGGGGAAAGCCUGAUGCAGCCAUGCCGCGUGUAUGAAGAAGGCCUUCGGGUUGUAAAGUACUUUUGGCAAAGAAGCGGUAUCUGCAGAAUAAGCACCGGCUAACUACGUGCCAGCAGCCGCGGUAAUAC